UAGCCACUACCUGGAAGAAGAGAAGGCUACAAACCUCUUGUUAUUCUUACUUUUUAGGCCGGUCAGGAUUCAAAGCUAAAAAAUCAUCAUGGCUGAUGAGGGAAGAUUACAAAAAAUGGAAGUUGAUUACACUGAAACUGUAGAUAAACGGUUGCCAGAAUGUGAAAACCUAACUAAGGAAGGGAAACUAAGUGAAGCUCUGGAAUCUCUCUUGUCACUUGAGAAGCAGACAAGAACAGCAGCAGAUAUGCAUUCAACUGCCAGAGUUCUGAUAGCAAUUGUACGUUUGUGCUUCGAACAGACUGAAUG